rnacentral:lncRNA from 10 species
UCUCAGUCCUUCUGACAUGAACUGGAACAACACCAUCAGCUCUCCCGGAUCUCCAGCUUGCAGACAGCAGAUCAUGGGACUUUUCAGCUUCUGUAAUUGUGAGGUGGUUGAGAACCAUUGACGUAGACUGACUUAGCAGAUCUUCAAAUGUGAAUAGGGAAUCCUGCCAUUCCACUGAUGAGAACAGCAUGCUUAGGAUAUUGCUUCUGAGAAGAGAGGCAUCCUGUUGUAUGUAGUGGCCACAUAACAGACUGCAAAGAACUGGAACGCAGAGUAAUUUUAAUCCAAAAUGUUCAAAGGAUGAACAAAACUGCAAUAAAGCAGAGUAAGUAAACACAAAGAGUGGCCAAGAUGGCCAACUAAAAGCAGAUAGGAUGCGUGGCUCUCACAGAGAGGAAAGGAAGGAAGGGGCAAGUAAAUACAGCACUGCCAACUGACACAUCCAGACAGUCAACACUGGGACUAAUCAAGGAAACAACUCGACCCACAGAGAAUGGAGAAGAGCAAGGCAGGACGACGGCCCAUCUGGGAGCAGAAUGUGGAGCCAAGGGAACCUCCCUUGCCAAGGACCAAGACAAGUGGCAAGCCAUAUGAUGACUGACCAGAAACAUUAGAAAGAAUGGAAGAUGGUUUCCUGAAGCUUCGCUACUCUGGAGGUGGAAUGAAUUGUGCCAAAUGUCAACUUCUAUGGCUCAAUGAGCCCUUUCCUGAGCCUGUCAACAGUGAACUAAAGAAAUACAAUCUCUGUUUCUCCAGUCAACGGUAGAACAGUGCUUGCACUCCCGAUAUUUAUGGAUAUAUUUAUACAAUUCUCACAAACCUGACACCAAUGGCCUGGGAUCAAUGUAGACAAGUGGUAAAGAAAAACAGAAUGAUUCUCUGAAAGGAUGCAUAUUAAAAAAAAUAAAAGAUUUGUGUUCUGAAUGGCUUGUUUUGAGAAAAAGAUAUGCUUCAACUGAGAUCUACAUGAUGUAGCAAAUAAAAACAGAGAUGAAUGAAAUGAUAGGAUAGAAGCCUGGCGGAUAUCUGGACAGAACUAUGCAAGAGCCUUCCUGAGAAUGGAAGCCACAGGAGGGAAAACGGAACUUGGGAAAGGAAAGAGUAAAGUGGAAUUUCAAUGACAUCAUUUAAAUGCCUGGAUCCAAAAGUGUCUGGACAUUCAAUAUCAAAAUAUUUGCUUCUCACAUCAUAUUUCAGUGAUGUGAGCCAAAUGUUACCUUCCACCACCCUUUUAAGAGUCCACUUGAUUUCAGUGUUCCUUCACUUGCAACCAGAGUUCUCACUGAUAAGUGUCUAUAUGGUGGUUCAUUCCUCCCUCAGUGGUAUAUGACAAUGAAACAAGAAGGUAUGGCAGGUUAAAAGUCAUAGGGUACCACAACAUUACACACUGAGCCACAAAAGCAGCUCAAAGCCAUGGUUUGUGGGGCUCCACCUCUUGCUCUCUGGAAGGCAUUAAUACAUGGUGGGAGAAAAUUAUAAGAUCUAUAUUGUCACAGAACUUUUCACAUAAUUAUAUUGUUAUUUUAUAUUCAUUUGCUCCUGGGCUUCAUCAAAUGGAGAAUUUCUUAUCUCUGUAUCCUCAAGGUUCAACACACUACCUGGCACAAGCUAGGUACAUAAUAAAUGUUCAAGUAAAAGAAUAAAUGAUUCAUUUCUUAGUAAAAGCGUUGCCUAGCAUGGUAUAAAAUUGUAACUAAGGAUAAAUCCCUUUAUUUCAAUCAGUUUUCACAUCAUGAGCCAUUGAUCUUUUAAAUGCAUGUUAAAAGUAAUGCUAUUCAAAAAGCUUUCC